AGAGCGAACGCUGGCGGCAGGCCUAACACAUGCAAGUCGAGCGCCCGUAGCAAUACGGGAGCGGCAGACGGGAUAGUAACACGUGGGAACGCGCCCUUCGGUUCGGAAUAACUCAGGGGAAACUUGAGCUAAUACCGAAUACGCCCUUACGGGGAAAGAUUUAUUGCCGAAGGAACGGCCCGCGUCCGAUUAGCUAGUUGGUGAGGUAAUGGCUCACCAAGGCUACGAUCGGUAGCUGGUCUGAGAGGAUGACCAGCAUCACUGGGACUGAGACACGGCCCAGACUCCUACGGGAGGCAGCAGUGGGGAAUAUUGGACAAUGGGCGCGAAGCCUGAUCCAGCCAUGCCGCGUGGAUGAUGAAGGCCUUAGGGUUGUAAAGUCCUUUUAACGGGGAAGAUAAUGACGGUACCCGUAGAAUAAGCCCCGGCUAACUUCGUGCCAGCAGCC
rnacentral:rRNA from 1 species